CCUACGGGUGGCUGCAGUGAGGAAUAUUGGUCAAUGGGCGGGAGCCUGAACCAGCCAAGCCGCGUGAGGGAAGAAGGUACAGCGUAUCGUAAACCUCUUUUGUCAGGGAACAAAGGCGGGGACUAGUCCCCGGAUGAGGGUACCUGAAGAAAAAGCAUCGGCUAACUCCGUGCCAGCAGCCGCGGUAAUACGUAGGUGGCAAGCGUUGUCCGGAUUUACUGGGUGUAAAGGGCGUGUAGCCGGGUUGACAAGUCAGAUGUGAAAUCCUGCGGCUUAACCGCAGAACUGCAUUUGAAACUGUUGAUCUUGAGUACUGGAGAGGCAGACGGAAUUCCUAGUGUAGCGGUGAAAUGCGUAGAUAUUAGGAGGAACACCAGUGGCGAAGGCGGUCUGCUGGACAGCAACUGACGGUGAGGCGCGAAAGCGUGGGGAGCAAACAGGAUUAGAUACCCCUGUAGUC
rnacentral:rRNA from 1 species